AACAUAAAAAUUGAUGACGAGCUGAAUGAGCACUCAAAUGUAUACAAAAAAUAAAUAAAAAAAGUUAUUUUUAUUGACCUCGUGUAUAAUGUGCUCGACAAUGAGCAUACGAGCUAACAGUUACCACAAUAAACAACAACUACAAGUGAAUUUAACGAUAAUAAAAAGUAAAAAGUAAAAAAAAAAGCUGAUCAAAUGGAAGCAGAAGUAUAAGAAAAAUAAUAAGAUAAAAAGUUGACCAUUAAAGCAAUUUAGCGAUUGCGUACGAGGUAUUAUGAAGAAACUAUCAUGUUCUGACCUAGCAUAUUGCCUUUAUAACACAGAGUGACCUCGCAUUUAUCGGAAAUUUGAUGCGUACAAUUGACACUACGUACGUGGGGUACAAUUGAUCUAAAUUAAGGAACAUUAACUUAUAGCAUCCGUAGUCUUAAAUGUCUCUCUAGAGUCACAGUACAUUGCAAUGUACCAAAGCAUCAACUAAAUAAAUUAUAAAUAACCUGAGCAAACAUUCAAUAAAGAGGUAUAAAAAAAAACAUUUUUUCCUCUUUCAUUUGAUUUUUUUCCGGUCCAUGGCAUUCCUCACAUGCCAAUAUAAGCCAAUUUCCGGCGAGGUUUACUAGUGACGCUUAUUUUAUUAAGCCGUUAAAAUAAUUUACCUUAAAUAUCUCUACAUAUAAUUAACUUAUUAACCAAAUAAAUAAUAAAAUUUAAAAAAUUCUUACCCUGUAUCGCCUAUCACGUUUAUUUCCCGCUGCUUCACAAUGUAAUUUAAAAUUACAUACAAACAACAACAAAAAAAUAACACUAUUUUUAAACACGCACAAUCUUCCCGGUUAUAAUUAUUUAUGUAAAAAUAAUAUUCCGAUAUGUCUGUUUAUUAUUAUUAUUAUUGUGUGUUAUGAUUAAACGUGUUUUUUUUUUUUUUUUCGUCAAUUAAUUAUUUCCUGUCUUGUGUCUUGCU